rnacentral:rRNA from 1 species
AUGAAGAAGGAAGACGACGAGGGCUGGCUGAGCAAGGCUGAUUUUGAGAGGAUAGUGCAGAAUGGCAAGAAGCAAGUGAAGAAAAUAAAGAUGGAAGACGAUGAGGGUUGGCUGAGCAAGGAGGACUUCGAGAGGAUAGUGCAGCAUGCCAAGAAGCAAAUGACGAACAUAAAGGAGGAAGCCGGAGGCCCAUAG